ACCGCCACCACCUGCAGAGCU
rnacentral:miRNA from 1 species